rnacentral:lncRNA from 1 species
AAUAUUGAUUUUUUUAUUUUUUUUUUACACAGGAGAAUAGAUGUGCUGAAAUAGCAGCUUAAAAGCCUCUUUUGAAUACAGGUGUAAGUAAAAUAUUUUGGAUCCUUGAAAACAUCAUCUUUAAAUUAAAUAACUCAUUUGUCUCUCCUUCAGUCCUCCUGCUUCUUGGCUCUGUAUCUCUGUCCAUGUUCAUGUAAAAAAGUGUUGCUUCUUUUCACAAACAGUCAAAUUUUUUUUUCAUAGACUUAAUUUCUACCCUGCACUUUUUAAGACAGCAGCAUGUGUGGUUUUGUUUCAGUUUCACCUGCUGGGGGUUCUUCUGCUUUGAAGAUAACUGGUAAACAGCUGACCACGUAAACACAAACAUUUAUUUUUCCUUGACGUGUGUUUCCUCUUUGUGUCAAAAUAUUCAUAGUCUAGUGAAUGUAUUAUGAUUUUGAGGCUUUAUGGUUAUUAGGAACCUCUGGUGUUAUUUCUUGCAUCAUGCCAGCCAUGUGAUUCCAGCCUCAGGUCCCAGACAAGCUGCAGAGUAUAUUUUGUAAAAGCACUCAUUCUUACAGGAAAGACAUCAGCUUAUUACAUUGCUGCUCUCAAGCACUCAAUUUUAACCUAAUACUUUACUUUUGAAAUGACCAGAAUUUUUUUUAUUUUUUUUUUUUUUUCCCAGCCUGCAUUUACCUUCUCUUUCUUAAUUACUUACUGUUGGUGCUUUGCUCGCUAAUUACAGAUUCCUCUGGUGUCAGGACAUUCCCUUCCAGCACUCCACUGACUGUGCUGAGUUAUCUGUGCCCUUCCCUUGGGGGGGCUGCUGCAGUGUGUUAUGCACAGAUGGCUGGGAAAAAAAUAAGUUUUAGGUAAACAAACAAACAAACAGCAAAAAAAAAUCAUAAAAAAAAUAAGAAGUUGCUGUCUUGUCAGCUCCUGAGGCAGAGAAAUAGUCCAAUCCAAAAGACCAGAAGAGACCCUUUUCUCUUUUCUGAAGCUGUUUCCCUCUGCCAGCCAGUGCCACAAGCCCACCACCAAAUAUCUGCAAUGCUAAAUGUUGUUUCUGAAGAGACCUCAAUAAAAUUAUCCAGAAAAGCUUCUUGAUUAAAGGU